UGUUUAAAAUGUACUACACUGAACAAGCCCGAUUCCAUUUGAUCUCGGAAACUAAGCAAGGUUGGGCUUGGUUAGUACUCGGAUGGAAGACCACCUAGGAAGACCAGGUUCUGUAGGCAU
ensembl:rRNA 5S_rRNA 5S ribosomal RNA